rnacentral:rRNA from 1 species
UACGUAGGGGGCAAGCGUUGUCCGGAUUUAUUGGGCGUAAAGAGCGUGUAGGCGGCCAGACAGGUCAGCUGUGAAAACUCGAGGCUCAACCGCAGACGGUCGUGGGAAACUGGAUGGCUAGAGUGCGGGAGAGGAGAGUGGAAUUCCCGGUGUAGCGGUGAAAUGCGCAGAUAUCGGGAAGAACACCCGUGGCGAAGGCGGCUCUCUGGAACGCAACUGACGCUGAGACGCGAAAGCGUGGGGAGCAAACAGG